CCUACGGGAGGCAGCAGUAGGGAAUUUUCGUCAAUGGGCGCAAGCCUGAACGAGCGAUGCCGCGUGAGUGAAGAAGGCCUUCGGGUCGUACAGCUCUGUUGCUGGGGAAAAAAGCCAGCAUCAGGAAAUGGGUGCUGACUGAUGGUGCCCCGCCAGAUAGUCACGGCUAACUACGUGCCAGCAGCCGCGGUAAUACGUAGGUGGCGAGCGUUAUCCGGAAUGGUUGGGGGUAAAGGGUGCCGAUGCGGUGCUGCAAGUCUGGAGUGAAACGCAUGAGCUCAACUCAUGCAUGGCGUUGGAAACUGGAGGACUGGAGAGCAGGAGAGGGCGGUGGAACUCCAUGUGUAGCGGUAAGAUGCGUAGAUAUAUGGAAGAACACCAGUGGCGAAGGCGGCCGCCUGGCCUGUUGCUGACGCUGAGGCACGAAAGCGUGGGGAGCAAAUAGGAUUAGAUACCCCUGUAGUC
rnacentral:rRNA from 1 species